rnacentral:rRNA from 1 species
UACGUAGGGGGCAAGCGUUGUCCGGAAUCAUUGGGCGUAAAGAGCGUGUAGGCGGCCAGGUAGGUCUGCUGUGAAAACUCGAGGCUCAACCUCGAGCUGUCGGUGGAAACUUUCUGGCUAGAGUCCGGAAGAGGAGAAUGGAAUUCCUGGUGUAGCGGUGAAAUGCGCAGAUAUCAGGAAGAACACCCGUGGCGAAGGCGGUUCUCUGGGACGGUACUGACGCUGAGACGCGAAAGCGUGGGGAGCGAACAGG